GAUGAAGAACGUAGCGAAAUGCGAUAAGUAAUGCGAAUUGCAGAAACCGUGAGUCAUCGAAUCUUUGAACGCACAUUGCGCCCAUUAGUAUUCUAGUGGGCAUGCCUGUUCGAGCGUCAUUAAGUCCAUUAAGCCUAGUUGCUUAGCGUUGGGAGCAUUACCGCACGGUAACUCCUCAAAGUCAGUGGCAGGGUUACGGUAUACUCUAGGCGUAGUAGAUUUAUUUCUCGCCUCUGUAGUUACCGCGGCUGUCGCCAUAAACCUACAUUUCUUAAUUGGUUGACCUCGGAUCAGGUAGGAAUACCCGCUGAACUUAAGCAUAUCAAUAAGCGGAGGA
rnacentral:misc_RNA from 1 species